ACCUAUAUUAAGCUAUGGACGAAAUUUAUGAAAGGCCAUCUUGUAUAUUUCGUCCAUGUCCUUGGAUGUCAUCAUGGUGGCUCCAAAGUGGUGAAAACUCCACCAGAAACUCUGUUCUUGCUCCCCUUGCGCGCGCCAUCUUCAACAUGCUUGAUCAUGCUCCAAUGUUCAUCGUUCUUGUCCAUGCUUGGCCCUUCAUUUAUAAGCAAAACAAAUGUAUCCAAUUUAGGCAAAAUCAUAUCCUAUGAACAUUAGAACCAGUACCAAGAAACGAAAGUACUUGGUAAUUCAAUUGGCGUGUGCCCGCUCUAGUAAUUGGUACAGUAUAUGCAGUAGUAGGGGUUGUGGGUGUAACUUUGUUAGUGAUUUCCUCAUCGGGUUGUCAACAAACUCAUGAUUGAUGCCCUCAUCGGCAUCGCCGCGGCACCUCUAGAAGAGAACUUCGGUAUCAAUAAAAAGGAGACUAAAUGAAUCCAGCCGGCUUAGCAUGAUAAGCUUGGGGGGAUUUUGAGGCCCUAUUGUAUCCCUUAUUGUUAUUUUCCUAUUGAACUUUAUUUAGGAGUUUUUCAUUUAGCCUGAAUAAGUAAUGACAGUCAUACUUUCUUGAUAAGAGGGGUGAGUUGUAUCUGUUGAGUCAUGGAUGAUUUAAUGAGUGGUCGAUUAUGAUCUUUAUGAGUUUGCUUAGUAUGAUUUUGCAUCUCCGUGUGUUAGAUAUUUUUGUUUUUAGACGAUGAUUAUAAGUCUUCCACAUCGUUACUAUCAAUCAGGAAUGAGAAGUUGACAACUUGAUGUGAUGAAUUGACCUUCAUUUCAGUUUAUUUCAUGAUUACUUGGCAAAGUCUUUAAACUAAUAAGCCAGGUAUGACAAGAGGACAAUCUUUCUUUACUGUAAAAACAAAAUUUAAAGGUUAAAAUAUUUUUUGUAAUUCCUAAUAAUCAAACUUGGACAACCAAGCAUACCAUUCAUAUCACACCUCGAAGAGAGAAAAGGGAAAAAGAAAAAUUCAAGUGAUAUGAGGUAGGCUUGGUAACUCAAGAAAUAAAAGGGAAGAAGGAAAUAUAACUUGAGUAAAAGCAGUAAACCAUAAGAGCUUGUCCAACUGAAGGAAGGGAGCCAUUAUCACUUAGAGUUGAGUAACGUCUUCUUAAUGAUUAAUAGUAAGGUGUGGAAGCCUUCAUACUCAUCUAAUGAAAACCGAGAUAUUAUGGUGCACGAUAGAGCCAUUAUAUGAUGCAAAAUUUGAAUUUAUGAUGGACUCAUUCAUUAUCGGUUUAUCUGCAUCUCAUAACUAAGAUGACCUCUUUCUUACAAGCCGUGGCAUUUGCUCGGGGAUGAGCAAACCUUUAAGCUUGGGGGAGUUGAUAAGUCCAAAUUAUGUGAUUAUUUUGUUAGUAUUUUUCUGCCUACUCCGUAGGCUUCGUGGGAUUUUACUGCGUUCGCGCACUUCCUUUUGUUGUUUUCCUCGGAUAAAGCUUUUUGGACCAAACAUUAUUAUAUGGAAGAAAUCUCAGAAAAUGGCAGUGGAAUCACACAAUUAAAGUGAUAAUCACCUGCCAUAAGAGAAAGAAGCAAAAUGGGCAAGUAAGCAGUCGCCGCAGGAUGUGCAGAGCAAAAGAUGACGUUCCAUACGACCGCACCUGCCCAUAUGUGUGGUCGUAUGGAGUACCAUUACUGCCCCCGGAUCAACUAUAUUCACCCCGUGAAGACGGAUCGUGGAUCAAACGCCUAGAGACACCAGAAACUCGUCUAGAAGCAGGAACCCUAGCUGCCGGAGUGAUCCAGAGGGAGGAACCGGCAAGGAGGAGGUCGCCGCCUCCACCGUCUUCAUCAAGAAGGUUCAACAUCAUCCCCACUUUCAUCAUCACCAUCUAUCUUCUCCCUAUUGUAAUAUCAAGAACCCUAGAGGAAUAACUUGUGUAUUACAUGUGCGAUUCGUUCAUGUUGCCCAUCUUUGGUGGUAUGAUGUUUGUUGCCUUCAUGUGUGAGUAGUUCCCUUAGUUCUCGAGGACAUGGAUGAACCCUAUUGUGUAAUAGAUCGAUUGAUAUUAGGAUUUAACAUCCUCUUUGCAUGUUUAUGUUAAUGAUCUUCUUGACAUUGGGUGAAGUCGACCAUCCAAUGCAUGGCAACUUUGGACAGAAGGUUAUUAUUGUUGGCAAACCAUGUGGUUGCGGAGGUGGGUGACGUGACGGGCCCCAUCUCCCUUCGUAGCGGAUCACUGCAGCAAGGGGUAAAACAGAGACCACUUUGGCGACGUCCACGGGGACAUCUUUCCCCUUAAUUACCGUUUGAUAACUGGAGUGGGGAAGAACGGUGAUGGCGUAUGUGAUACACAGUUGUCAGUGUAUGCACGUAUCUGUACCGGCUCUGCCCACAAAGAGAAACAUGUAAAGUGGCUUAGAAAUCCGAAGUAGUAUUGUGUUUAGGCACCGCUAUAGAUGCACACUGAAGGGCAUUCCGGAUUCCCUGGGAACGCUUUAAUCCCACUUGUCUCGAGUCUCUCAUUUACUUUUGUUGAAUUAUUUAUAUUUAGACUCGCAACAUCAUUUCCAUCACUUUACCACUGCUUUGGAUCGCUAAAAAUUUGCAGGCAUUCUACUCGAACCAUUCAAGAGACAAAAGGUUGAUUCAUGUGCUCCGUGUGGGAUUGAUACUCUUACUUUGAAAAAGCUACAACUAAACGUUGUGCACUUGUAGGACAUCAGUGACCCAUACAAGCCCCACGUGGUGAACUCACAGAUCAGAUGAUGACACGAUCUACGUGUUAGGUCAGCUCUUCGUCUUUGGCGCCAUGACUUUUGUCGCCGACUCGACCAACCACAUCGCCAAGUCGAGAACCACACUCUAGACCAUAUUGUUCAAUUUGGCAAUCUAGAGGACAUCGUGGAUUCACACAGCGAGCUUGUCCUCCAAGGCCUGCAUGGUGCAAGGAUGAGGGAAAUAUUCAGAAAGCGGAUCAUAUAUGACUCGCACUAGCUAUUUUCUGAUGUCUCAAAGUAAAAAAACGGGCAGGGCCAAUGUUCGGAAGGGCGGUUGCGGAGAAGCAAUGGAAGUCUCUUUGGAUGAUUAAGGCUCCUAAUAAAAUAAAAUGAAGGUAGUCUUGUGAGGGUAUGCUCAGAAUUGUUUACCUGGUGGUUCUCACUUUUUGCACCGUCAUGUACCUACAUCCGAGCUUUCUUGUUUUUGUGCCUGGUUCGAAUCUGUUGUGCAAGCUCUACUUUUUUGCCCAUAUGCUAGAGAUAUUUGGGAUGUAUCCUUCGGUGCGUUGUUCAGUUGGCACGGAAUGAAGAAAUUUCAGAUACUAUCUUUGCCUCCAAUUGUCUUUCCUUGGUACAGAGGCUAAACUCUUCAGCUUUAGAUCGUUCUCCAAUUGGUGCGGUGGUUGCUGACAUUAACCUCAUCUCUAGUGGCUUUGCUUCUAUGAUGUUCAAGCAUGUUUGUCGGCAUUGUAAUGUAGCGGCUCAUUUAUUAGCUAAAUCGUGUAUGUACUCUAUAAGUCUUAGUUUUUUUUAUAUGUCCCAGAUUGUAUCUCAGGAACUCUGUGUAAUUUGAUUGAUUGAUUAAUACAACAUUCUCUAGAAGAAAACUCUAACAAGGAACACGCUAGCUUAGCGUAGAGGUGUUCCAAAGAUCCAUGAUCAAACAAACAAAAACACAAAAAUAAUUCCCAGAUUUUGAGAAGAGGUGGUGCCAAUCAAACGAGAGCAACCUCCGUCAUGAGUUUCAUGAGAGUAUCUACAACCAGGAUUACCUAAUUUGGUGCUAUAUACACCUGCAGGCGUGUCCGCUGGCAGUACCCGAAUAGUAGCCAAUUUUCCCUAUCCACAAUCACAAACAUCAAAUUCAGAUACCCUAUUUCAUACAAAACCAUGCAGUCUACGUAGACCAUAUAAAUAGCAUAAAACUUGAGCAAUUCGGACAUCAGACAUGCAAUUAGUUCAUCCAAAAGGGCCGAGAUAGUCCAAAUUGAACCUAAAAUGAACACCUGAGAGUUGCGGGCACGAGCACCCACCGUUGGCUGGGCGGUGCUAGCGCCAGAGGGGAAGGGGAGAACCUGUUUCGGAUCUAGAGCAGCGCGAAGAUAGAAGGGCGAGCACGGGACGGGCAGGUGUGGUUGGCAUUCCGCGGAGCUAGAAGGGUGGGCGCGGCUAGCAUUCUGCCGGAGGGAUGAGGAGGAGCUUGUUGUGGGCGCGAUGGAGCCCCGCCGAUGUCGACGCGCGACCGCUGGAUGGCGAUGCGGAGCGCGAGCGCCUCCUCGUCAGAUUCCUCCUUCACUAGACCGUCCAGUCCAUGGGGCGGCCUCUACCGGAGUCCUGACAGAAGUUGGCCAUGGCUGAUAGGAGGGGAAGGGUUUGGGAUGAAUCGGAGGAGUCAAGGGAAACGGAUAAGAUAAGUGUGGACUGAAAAAAUGGGUUUUACUAGGGUUUCAUCCGAUGGGGUGGGGCAUUUGUGGGGGCAUAAGUGGG
rnacentral:lncRNA from 1 species